AUGCGGCACACGAGUUUCCGUUUCGGCUUUCAUCAUCAACCCGUCAUUGUGAACAUCCAAUGCGCCGAUCCUCUUCUCCUAUUGUUCUCCAUUAAUCCCUUGCUCAGCUCACGGUCUUCUGAUUCCUUACUUCAUCUUCUCCAAAUCCAGAAAUACGUCGAGAACCUAGAGGCUUCUGAGUACGAUUACACUAUGACAGUGAUGAAUCAACACCUAGCGCCUUAA
rnacentral:lncRNA from 1 species